CGAAUACGAGACGCUACGGCGUCGAAGUAGUGUAUGUCACACUUCCAAGAAAAGCUUGCACUGUCAUAAAUAAAAAUGCCUGUACCAUAACCGACACAGGUGGGUAGGUAGAGUAUACUAAGGGGCGCGAGAUAACUCUCUCUAAGGAACUCGGCAAAAUAACUCCGUAACUUCGGGAGAAGGAGUGCCUUAUUUACAUAGGGUUGCAAUAACAAGAUCCAAGCAACUGUUUACCAAAAACACAGGUCUCCGCUAAGUCGUAAGACGAUGUAUGGGGGCUGACGCCUGCCCAGUGCCAGAAGGUUAAAGAAGUUGGUUAGCAUCUGCGAAGCUGAUAACUGAAGCCCUGGUGAACGGCGGCCGUAACAAUAACGGUCCUAAGGUAGCGAAAUUCCUUGUCGGGUAAGUUCCGACCCGCACGAAAGGCGUAAUGAUUUGGAUACUGUCUCGGAGAGGGGCUCGGUGAAAUAGACUUGUCUGUGAAGAUGCGGACUACCUGCACCUGGACAGAAAGACCCUAUGAAGCUUUACUGUAACUUGAAAUUGAAAUUGGACUUUAUUCGCGCAGCAUAGGUGGGAGGCUUUGAAGAUACUCUUGCGGGAGUAUUCGAGCUAUCAGUGAGAUACCACUCUUAUAAUGUUAGAUUUCUAACUUUGAACCAUUAUCUGGUCAAAGAACAGUUUCAGGCGGGCAGUUUGACUGGGGCGGUCGCCUCCUAAACGGUAACGGAGGCGUACAAAGGUUUCCUCUGAACGGAUAGAAAUCGUAUCUAGAGUAUAAAGGCAUAAGGAAGCUUGACUGUGAGACCUACAAGUCGAGCAGGGACGAAAGUCGGUCUUAGUGAUCUGACGGUACUGAGUGGAAAGGCCGUCACUCAACGGAUAAAAGUUACUCUAAGGAUAACAGGCUGAUCUCCCCCAAGAGUUCACAUCGACGGGGAGGUUUGGCACCUUGAUGUCGGCUCAUCGCAUCCUGGGGCGGUAGUACGUCCCAAGGGUUGGGCUGUUCGCCCAUGAAAGCGGUACGCGAGCUGGGUUCAGAACGUCGUGAGACAGUUCGGUCCAUAUCCGGUGUAGGCGUUAGAAUAUUGAGAGGAGCCUUCUCUAGUACGAGAGGACCGAGAAGGACAUACCUCUGGUGUACCAGUUAUCGUGCCAACGGUAAACGCUGGGUAGCUAUGUAUGGAGUGGAUAACCGCUGAAAGCAUCUAAGUGGGAAGCCCACCUCAAGAUAAGUAUUCUCAU
rnacentral:rRNA from 1 species